rnacentral:rRNA from 1 species
UACGUAGGGGGCAAGCGUUAAUCGGAAUUACUGGGCGUAAAGCGUGCGUAGGCGGUUAUGUAAGACCGGUGUGAAAUGCCCGGGCUUAACCUGGGAACUGCAUUUGGGACUGCAUGGCUAGAGUUUGGCAGAGGGGGGUAGAAUUCCACGUGUAGCAGUGAAAUGCGUAGAUAUGUGGAGGAACACCGAUGGCGAAGGCAGCCCCCUGGGUCAAGACUGACGCUCAUGCACGAAAGCGUGGGGAGCAAACAGG